rnacentral:rRNA from 1 species
UCAAGGACUCACCUCUGAACUUAAGCAUAUCAGUAAGCAGAGGAAAAGAAAACAACUGUGAUUCCCUUAGUAACUGCGAGUGAAGCGGGAUAAGCCCAUCGUUUAAUCUUCCCGGACUAUGGACGGGACGAAAUGUAACGGUAUGGAUAGGUUCUCUAUCAAACUAGUCUGAUCAAAGUCCUCCGGAUUGAGGUGCCUGAGAGGGUGACAGCCCCGUAUAUGAUUGGACGAGUUUGAGCAUGUGACCGAUUCUGAGAGUCGGGUUGUUUGGGAUUGCAACCUAAAGCAGGUGGUAAACUCCACCCAAGGCUAAAUAUUGACACGAAACCGAUAGCGAACAAGUACUGUGAAGGAAAGUUGAAAAGAACUCUGAAAAGAGAGUUAAAAGUACGUGAAACCGCUAACGGGGAAGCGGAAGGCAGUGUCGAGAUUGAGCAAGUGAGUCGUUUCAAGUGUGUGCAAUAAAACAUUUGGAGUGGCUAGGUUUGCUUGAUGCGUCAGGACUAUUGGUGUGCGACGGUUCAAUUGUCAGCAUGGCUUCAACGACACCUAGCUUUAUAGACUAAGCUAGGCUCGCGGUUGCGGCUGGCAAUCCGCCUCGUGUGCUGAUAUGGAUGUGAUGGAGCGUUGGUGAUGUAUGGUCGGUUGGUGCAUUGUGGUGGUGUACACUGGCCACAUUGUGGUUACGUGUAUUUCCAGACAACAGUGUGGUCAACAACCAAUGCUAG